CCGGUUCCUGUAAAAAGCCCGGGGGCAAUUUUUUUAAAAAAUUGCCCCCGGCUCACAGGUGCUUAUUUCAAGGCUUGGCCAGGCUGGAUUACCCCUUUCUGGGUAAUCCUCUGUUUUAGGGAUUGGGAGGAGCUAGGACUCUUAGGAGAGCCGAUUGGGAUUUAGACUUGGGACAGUCCUUAAUUUAGGAUUUUAACAGACACAUUGGCCAUUGCAAGAAUUUCGAUUUAGACUAAACGGUGAUUUCGCUCAUGUGUUAUUCAAGCACCCCCACCAGCGGGUCAUGAUUUUACCUAUGGCCUCCUGUGCAUAAGAAAUCGCACGCAGGCUGUGCAUUCGUAGACGUGACGAGGAAGAAGUCCGACGUGUGGCUGGAAUAUCAUAUGAAAAUACUCUUUCUGGACAUUCAGGUAAUUAAAAAACCUGGAAAUCAUUCAGCAACAAAUCCUUAUUAUUUCCUUACCACAUAAGGUUCCAAAUUGGGCCAAAAUUAGCUUCUCUUGAAAAAUGAUUCCCCGACGUCU